AAGGCCUUAGCUUAAUUAAAGUAUUUGAUUUGCAAUCAGAGGAUGUGAGUUAGUAUCUUGCAGGUCUUA
rnacentral:tRNA from 1 species